rnacentral:sRNA from 1 species
AAUAUAUAGGAUUACUUUGAGGACUAAAAACAAAAGAAGAGCUAUGCCUAUAAAUAAACACUACCAUCAAAUGUUUAGAUUUCAAGUAUGUAAAACGAUAAGUGAUAUAUCCCUAUUUUCACUGAUUUUAUAUAUGAUUUAGGGUUAGAAUUUUGAGUCUUUAUGUUGUUUCUCGAGUCUUUUUAGUGUCUUUUCAGGUAUUCUAUGCAGUGGGACAGCAAUGGAGAUAAGAAAACAUUUUGGAGCAAAAGCUAAGGAAAAGGAAGCUAAGGACGAUUUUGGACUCAGGAAUCAAGAGGAGUGUCGAUCGACACACUCUUGGUGUCGAUCGACACCAGUUUUGGGCCAACAAAAGUCCAAGACGCUUUCAAGUUUACAUAAGAGGAAAUUUACCCCAGAAGACUUCUCUAUUUGCAUUAUUAGUCCCUGGACGUUUUUAGGGUUUCAUAUACUUUGUUUUAGACCUAAGUUUCAUCGAUCAAGUUUUUAUCAACCUUUUUGCAAACCCUGUUACUGAGAGAUAUAAGCUAUUCAUCCCUUGUUUUCCAGAGAUUCAUACAGUUCUUAAUACAUUGAAGAGAUCCCUUCUUUUCCCUUCUCUAUUUACUGUGUUUAUGCUUUCAUACUCAAAGAUGUUGUUUGCUUCAAUCAAUAUGUCUGAGUAGUCUGCUUGUUAGGAAUAGGGUUUCUCAUUAGGGAUUCAUAUGGUUUAGUAGAUUGCCCCCUUUGCUAGGUUAUCUGUAAAAUUAUUCAUCUUUAACUGUGUUUAAUGCUAGAUCUAGAAUAGCUAACUAGAUCUUGAAUCCAGACAAUAGAUAUGCCCGCCAUAGGUAUCUGUAGUUGGAUAUAUUAUUUGAUGAGCCUGGUUUGUAGGUGUGUAAUAAGAAUCGGCCUAUCUACCAAGGUGAACAAUCGAACUCGUUAAGAAUGCAUAUUUAGGUUAAUAAUUUCUCGGCUUCUCCGGUUAUUCUUAGCUAUAGAUAUAUGAAGUUUCGCGGAACGCCACCGGUCAUUCCAUAAUUAGAGUUUGAGUUUAAGAAUGGUUUGAUAACAACCUAGCUUUCAUUAGAUCUACUAACCAAUAGUUUAUUUAAUCGUUUACAACACAAUCAACCUGCUGUUUUCUUACUUUGUUUUCUUAAAAUUUCAAUCAUCACCUGCUAGCUUAAUCUCGACAUUCAAUUCAUUGUUUGACAAAAGAACUUUGUGGAAAUCGAUCCUUAAAUACUGCAAUUGAUCUCUUAUUUGAGAGAGUAGUUCUAGGGAAAUUUGAACCAUAUCAACAAUCAUGUUCAAGCUACUACAACAAUUUUAAUGAAAAUAAUUAUUACCUAUGACUUAUACUUUCCAUUUGAAGCUUUUACAUUCUGGAGCAAGUGGAGGAGGCGUUGUGAUCUUCCAAAGAUGGUGAUUCAUCAAGGUGCCUCUGAAUCCAUGGAUCCAUGAUUGAUCCUAGACUAGAAAAAAAAACGUUAGUACUACAAAAUUGAAAACCGAUUUGCAGAAUACG